GGGACAGAGCCGGGCCGUGAGGGACAGAGCCGGGCCAGACUCAGGACGGCAGCACACGCCAGAGCCCGGCUACUGCAGAGAGCGGCAGCACCGAACCACAACUCCCUCGCAGACCCGCUCCCUAAAACCUCUGCUCCCAGCUGCUCCCGGCGCCCAGGCAGCGCUGCCAAACCAGCCCCAGGACUUUGUCGCCACCACCGCCUUCCCUUUUAUCCCGCCCUUUCUCCUGCUCCUUUUCCUUACCCCGGCCCGGCCGCUUCCGCCCCGGCUCCGCCCCUUCCUGCGCCGCCCCGGCCCGCGCACGCCGCCCGGAACUGCCGCCCGCGGCCCGCGCUGCGCGGGGGAACUGCGGUGGCGGUGCACCCGCCGGGCGCCUUCCUCCUCCUCCUCCUCCUCCUCCUCCUCCUCCUCCUCCUCCUCCUCCUCGGCUCCGGUAAGACACCAGCGGGUGGUUCUGCGGGGCCUGGAAGGGGGGGCUUGGGAGGAGGGAGAGAGGAUCGGGAAGAGGAAAUUUGGGGUAGGAAGGGGGAAGGAAGAGGGAGAUGGGGAGGAAACAGAGCGAUUGGAAGGAUGAAGGAAAAGGGAGCUGAGGGAGGGGAGAGGGGGUUUGGAACAGGAAGAGGGAAUUUCGGGGUUGGGAGGGGAAAAGGGGUUUGGAGGAGGCAAAGGGGGUUUGUGAGGGGAGAGGAAAAGGGAACUUGGGAGAGGGCAGAGGGGUCUGGGGAAGACAAAAAUAAUCUGAGAGGGGGAAGGAAGAGCGGAUUUGGGGCGAGGAAAAAGAGGUUGGGAGAGGACGGUAAGGGUAAAUUUGGGUGGGAGAAACAAGGUGUUUGGCAGGAGGGAGGAGGACGGGAGCCCUCAGGCACACUUGGCAGCCCUUUCCCUCGGAGCCGGGUGAGCUUUGGGUGUCGAGCGGUGCCGGCGGGGCCCGGAGGGAGCGGCUGUCCCUGUGGGAUGCGAUGGUGCCAAGGAACAACCCGGCCUGGGCACACGGGCACGCCCGCAGCCGCGGCCCUGAGGAAGUCUGUAUGGGGCAGUGAUGGCUGUAGGAGGGUGGUGUUUUACUCUCUUGAGCAUUGUAAAGUGUUACUUUUAGUUGGGAGGCCUUCUCUUCGUUCCUAA
ensembl:lncRNA